CAGCAUUACAUUUUGAAAGUUAGAGAGUACUAUCAUUCAAUACAUCAACAAAAAAUUUACAGAGAAUAAGGAAAUGUUGUUUUCUCUAAGUCUUAAAACCAUCAUUUAAAAUAUUUAUUUUUAAAACCCUGCAGGAGCUGUACAUUGCUGUUGGCAUCUCUGGAGCUAUCCAACAUCUCGCUGGAAUGAAAGAUAGCAAGACCAUUGUGGCCAUCAACAAGGACCCAGAAGCUCCCAUUUUCCAGGUGGCUGACUAUGGCCUAGUGGCAGAUCUGUUCAAGGUUGUACCAGAGUUAACCGAAGCUCUGAAAAAGUAAGAAUCCUAAAUAAAGACUGUACCUACCUGGAAAUCUGCAGGAGAACUUCACUGGGAACUUCUUGACAUCUGCCUUAAGUUCAGAGCGCUAUACUGACGAUCACCUCUCUUGAAGAUUACGCUUUCACGUACUACCAACCUCUGAUUUAGGCAGCAUACCCUUUUUUAAUAAAAGCAUUGAAGAACUCUGUGACAUCUGGGGUUGAAAUAGUUGCAUGUUGGUUUCUUAACAUUUCAAUGUUAUAUCAAAUGUUGUUAACUCUAUUUGUCAGUCUCUUCCUCGAAAUAUGAAUGUACUGGAAGUGUUAAUGACAGUUUGAACUAUUUUGUUCCAUAUUCAAUGAAUUCCAUCUUAAGUCUAUAAAGAGCAAACACUUUGCAUGUUGAGCACAGACCUCAUUGGUGUGGUUCUCAUUUAAGUAGCAGUUAUAAAUGGCUGUCCUAUGGACUAAAUAUUCUGUUUGUGGGUAGAUGUCAUGUGUCAAGAAAGAGAUGCUUAAAAUCUUGGCCGAUAUAAAGUUCCAUUCAUUUGAAUAACUGUGUGCAAAGUAUUAAAAAAAACAAAGUAUU